ACCCCACACAUCAAUUAUCUCACUUUCUUCUUUCACUUUCUCUACUUCCCCUGUUCCACGUUUUUUUUUUCUUUCUUUCUUUUUCUUUUUCUCUAUCUUUCCAUUUCACCUCUUCUUCUCAACAAAUAUCAACCAUACACUCAAAAGGAAGACACUACAUCUCUAUUAUAAGCUUUCUCAUGCUUCCACAAAUAUUAUUGGGUAUAAUUUUGGGGUUAGGGUUAAUGCUUUAAGGAAGGAGAUGAAUACCCACUCUUGAAAAAUUGUUCAUUGAGACUCUUUGAGCUUCACAUGCUUGGCAGGAGUGGUUGGAGUGAAAACUUAGUUGAUUCGUCAUAACAAUUCAAAGUCAGCUGAGUAGGGGGUUUCUAGCAGAUAUUGAGAGUCGUCGGUGUCAUUCUUUUGGCUUGCCGGACUAGUAUUAGUUUGUGCGCCGGUCACGAUUCGAGUUUGGUUCGUGACACAAUGGAUCCUUCAAAAUUUCUUUUUGAUAUCGAAGCUUACAAAAGACGGUCUGAAAUCGAAGAGAGGUAUAUCGUCAACCGGUUCAGGGAGCGACGAAACCAAAUAGAGGAAAGAUAUACACCUUGUGUCAAGAGAAAAUAUCAUGCAGCGGCAAACCAAGGAUCAAGUAAGUCUUCGGCCAGUGAAGAGUGGAAUGAACUCAAACAAUAUAUGGAGAAAGAGUUUGAACGAUUGGACAAAAUAAUCAUGAGGCAAGAGGAGACUAACCAGGCUAAGAAGAUGGAGAUGUUUAUGAAGUUAAGUUCAAAGGAGCAUCUCGAUGAUCGGUGCAAAGAGAUGUUGGAAAAGUUGGGUCGCGAUCUGUUUGGAAAUUAAAUGUUGUCAAGUCAUUGUUUGUAUUUUGUCGCGUUGUGUCUUAUUUACUAUUUAACUCCAUUUCAUUUAAAUUAUGUAUUGUCAAGUCGUUGUUUGUAUUUUGUCACUUUCUGCCUUAUCUAUUAUUUAACUACAUUGAAGUAUUUGUUUGGAGUCCGUCCAUUUCAACCACUUAAUCUGAUUUCUAUCAUUAUCUAUUAUUUAACCACAUUGCAUUAUAUGUUUCGAGUCCAUCCAUUUCACCAACUCAAUUUCUUAUUUAAAUGGGGGCUCAUUCUUCCAUUGUUGUACCAAUAAUAAAAAUCUCAUAUUACUAAAAAAAUAUCAAUGGAUCCUUCAGAAUUUCCUUUUGAUAUAGAAGCUUACAAAAGACAGUCUGAAAUCGAAGAGAGGUAUAUCGUCAACCGGUUCAGGGAGCGACGAAACCAAAUAAAGGAAGGAUAUACACCUCGUGUCAAUAGAAAAUAUCUCAAUAGAGAUCAUGCAGCAGCAAACCAAGGACUAACUAAGUGUUCGUCUCAAGAUGAAAAAAUAGACGCGAAUGGGAUCGCGGAUCUUAAGAAACCAUUAUUGCAGAUUCAAGAAUGCCGAAUCAAGAUUAAGGGAAUGACUUGCACAAGUUGUUCACAAUCUGUUGAGCAUGAUUUGCAAAUAGCUGAAGGAGUCAAAAAGGCAGUAUAGUUGGUUUAGCCUUAGAGGAAGCAAAAGAGUCAAAAAAGGCAGUAUUAGUUGGUUUAGCCUUAGAGGAAGCAAAAGUACUCUUUGAUCCUAAACUCAUUAAUACCAACAAAAUAAUUGAAGUUGUAGAAGAUUCCGGCUUUGAAGCAUAACUUGUUAGUUCAAGGAAUGAUAUGAACAGAGUGCAUUGGAUUUGGAACUAAUGCUGCUUGUUUUUACUCAGUAUAUGUUGUAAUUAAAACACUGACUUCAGCUAAAUUUCAAGGACAAGAUUUCUUUGAGACCAGUUCUAUGCUGAUAUCAUUUAUUCUAUUAGGAAAAUAUUUGGAGAUUAUGGUUCCAACAUCUAAA